CUUACCAGGUCAAGACAUGGGCGUGAUUGACAGGCUAAUGACUUUUCUCGAUUCCAUGGAUGGUGGUGCAUGGUCGCACUUAGUUGGUGCAGUGAUUUGUCAGGUUUAUUCCGGUAACGAACGAGACCUCGGCCUUGUAAAUAGCUAUGCUGCUUACAGGGACAUUGGCGGCUACGCCAAGGAAGCUCGAGGCAAUUGCAGAUCUGGAAUGCCCUUAGAUGUCCUGGGUCGCACGCGUGCUACAAUGACGCCACGAACGAGCUUGCGUGAUGAAAGUUACGCAUAAUCAGCAGUCGGCGUCUUAAGGGAUAGUCUCUUGUAACUGUGGGACUCCAACUAGGAAUGUCUCGUAAGCACAAGUCAACAUCUUGUGUUGAUUACGUCCCUGCUCUUUGUACACACCGCCCGUCGCUCCUACCGAUCGAGUGUUUAGGUGAAAUUUGAUGGACGUAAGGAAGUCAAAUAAACCUGAGCACUAGAGGAAGGAGAAGUCGACAUUC
rnacentral:rRNA from 1 species